AUACGGAGGAUCCGAGCGUUAUCCGGAUUUAUUGGGUUUAAAGGGUGCGCAGGCGGCCAUUUAAGUCAGCGGUUAAAUCGUGGGGCUCAACCCCAUUCUGCCGUUGAUACUGGGUGGCUUGAUUGCGGUCGGGGUUGGCGGAAUUCGUUGUGUAGCGGUGAAAUGCAUAGAUAUGACGAAGAACACCGAUUGCGUAGGCAGCUGACCAGACCGCAAAUGACGCUCAUGCACGAAAGUGCGGGGAUCGAACAGGAUUAGAUACCCUGGUAGUCCGCACAGUAAACGAUGAAUACUUGUUUUCGGCGAUAUAAUGUCGGAGGCAAAGCGAAAGCGAUAAGUAUUCCACCUGGGGAGUACGCCGGCAACGGUGAAACUUAAAGGAAUUGACGGGG
rnacentral:rRNA from 1 species